GUGAUUCCAGCUGACCUAUGGCACAGUGUGAGGAGGACACAUGUGGUGCAGUGUGCUAGUGGAAUAUGCUGCAUCAUGCGUAGCCUCCCCAAACUGUGUUGUGUCUCUCCAUCUGGAGGUUCAU
rnacentral:pre_miRNA from 1 species